GAGAGGGCGACCCACUCUGAUGAGCAAUCGUGCCACGAGCUCCCACUUAAUGUGGAAAAACCUGAACUUUAGGGAGUUUUAAAGGAAGCCAGAUACGUUUGUGAUCUCAUCAGCAGCAGCUACCAAACAAGAGUCUUCUCAGACACAACCGAAGUAAAGGGCAGUUAAUUCAUUUCACCAGGCAACACGAAGCAACCGAGUGAAGAUGAAAAGCUGUGGAGUCGUCUCAUCAGCCCAGCGGCGCCGCAGCUCGCCAACCUGCAGCAGAGAGUCAGGACACUGCUUUAUGGUGAAUGAGAAAAGAUGGAGAAGGAGAAUAUGUGGAAGCAACAGCCUGGGUAUUAAAGGACACAAAGUACAGGAAGUUUAAAAAUGUGUGUAAAGCUGCUCGUCACAGACAUCAGUGGCCAUCCGGUUCAAGGUCAUGUGGAUCCUGUCACCUAUCCCAGCUGCUGCGAGGUGAGAGACGGGAUAAACCCCGACAGGCUGCUGAUACUGCAGCACCAACACAGGAAGAUCAAACUGUCUGACAUGUGGCCAGUUUAGAAACACCGAACUAACCUAAACUACUCGUGUCUGGACCGUGGGAACGACGGAGAGAGCGUGUGAGCUGCACACAGAGCGGCUCUGAUGGAGGCGCAGUGUGGAGACUGUGGGUUUACAGUGUUAAUGAUGUCAACACGAAGGUUUUUCAGUGUAGUAAAUGAAACAUGUUUCCAUAUAAAUGUGAAGAAAAAGCAGUAACAGAAAAUAUAAACAAAUACAAGCACAGCACCUGCAAACUGCUGAAUAUGAGCAGCAACGAAUACAGACUUACAUCACCUGUGUUCAUGAAUAAGUAACAAACUGUUAGGGGUGGGGAAAAUGGAUACU